UGAGCAAGUACAUGAGACUGAGGAAAGGGGUGCUUGUCCUGGCUCCAGAUGCAAAGCUGUCAUCAUGAAGGACAUUGAUGAUGGCACCUUAGACCACCCUUGUCACCAUGCCCUGGUGACUGGAUUGACCACUAUUUCCCCAAAGUGACAACUCGUAUGGACAAGAAGAAAAUCUCCAAAAUAUCAAAGAUCAAGUCCUUUGUGAAUAUAUAUAACUACAGUCACUUCAUACCCACAAGAUACUUUGUGGUUAUCCCCUUGGACAAAACUCUUGUCAACAAGGUUUUUUUAAGAAACUCAGUUCUGAAACACAAUGCUACGGGGGAGGACAAGGUCAAGUUUGAGGAAUGAUACAAGACAGGAAAGAUUCCAGAAGCUUCAUUUUUAG
rnacentral:lncRNA from 1 species